CAGUCGCCGCGGGAAUACGUAGGGUGCGAGCGUUAAUCGGAAUUACUGGGCGUAAAGCGUGCGUAGGCGGUGAGUUAAGUCUGCUGUGAAAUCCCCGGGCUCAACCUGGGAAUGGCAGUGGAUACUGGCUCGCUAGAGUGUGUCAGAGGAUGGUGGAAUUCCCGGUGUAGCGGUGAAAUGCGUAGGGAUCGGGAGGAACAUCAGUGGCGAAGGCGGCCAUCUGGGACAACACUGACGCUGAGGCACGAAAGCGUGGGGAGCAAACAGGAUUAGAUACCCCGGUAGUCCCUGUCUCUUAUAC
rnacentral:rRNA from 1 species